UACGUAGGGUGCGAGCGUUAAUCGGAAUUACUGGGCGUAAAGCGUGCGCAGGCGGUUUUGUAAGUCAGAUGUGAAAUCCCCGGGCUUAACCUGGGAACUGCGUUUGAAACUACAAGGCUAGAAUCUGGCAGAGGGGGGUAGAAUUCCACGUGUAGCGGUGAAAUGCGCAGAUAUCGGGAGGAACACCUGUGGCGAAGGCGACCAUCUGGACAACUACUGACACUGAGACGCGAAAGCGUGGGUAGCAAACAGG
rnacentral:rRNA from 1 species